rnacentral:miRNA from 1 species
GGUCAGCUGACACAUCCCUGCCAAUCUCCGGCAGACCCUCCCUCCCAGACCCUCCCACCUCCUGGACAGGAUCCAUGUUGAAGCUGCCUUCAACAUGGAUGCUGUCCAGGAAGUAGGAGGGUCUGGGAGGGAGGGUCUGCCGGAGAUUGGCAGGGAUGUGUCAGCUG